GAUGAACGCUGGCGGCGUGCCUAAUACAUGCAAGUCGAGCGAACAGACGAGGAGCUUGCUCCUCUGACGUUAGCGGCGGACGGGUGAGUAACACGUGGAUAACCUACCUAUAAGACUGGGAUAACUUCGGGAAACCGGAGCUAAUACCGGAUAAUAUAUUGAACCGCAUGGUUCAAUAGUGAAAGACGGUUUUGCUGUCACUUAUAGAUGGAUCCGCGCCGCAUUAGCCAGUUGGUAAGGUAACGGCUUACCAAGGCAACGAUGCGUAGCCGACCUGAGAGGGUGAUCGGCCACACUGGAACUGAGACACGGUCCAGACUCCUACGGGAGGCAGCAGUAGGGAAUCUUCCGCAAUGGGCGAAAGCUUGACGGAGCAACGCCGCGUGAGUGAUGAAGGUCUUCGGAUCGUAAAACUCUGUUAUUAGGGAAGAACAAAUGUGUAAGUAACUAUGCACGUCUUGACGGUACCUAAUCAGAAAGCCACAGCUAACUACGUG
rnacentral:rRNA from 1 species